AUGCAAGAUUACGAGGCCCAAAUCUGGGCUUUCAAGUAUCGGAUCGAACUGUCAACGGUGGAGGCAUCACGUCAACUUUAUUUAACUUCUUACAAAAAGAAAAAGAGAACACCAAUUGAUUCAAUGGUGCAGUCGUUCAAUGAUAUGGCUGUGUUAAAUGAGCGUGAGCUACUGGUCAGGUUCAAUGGCAAACAUGUGUUGCACUGUGACGUUGAUGGCAAAUUCUUAGGUUUGGUUAAAAUUGGUAAGAAUCAUUGUAUGCGGCUUGCUCAUUACCGCCUCCAGGAGAGCAUUCUUCCAAUUCCGUCCCAUGAGAUGCAUCAAGGUUAA
rnacentral:rRNA from 1 species